rfam:Camelus ferus unplaced genomic scaffold scaffold715, whole genome shotgun sequence.
GGAUGGGUACAGCUCAGUGGCAAAGUGCAUGCUUAGCAUGCAGGAGGUCCUGGGUUCAAUCCCCAGCACCUCCA